rnacentral:rRNA from 1 species
GAUCCUGGCUCAGGAUGAACGCUGGCGGCGUGCCUAAUACAUGCAAGUCGAGCGAACAGACGAGGAGCUUGCUCCUCUGACGUUAGCGGCGGACGGGUGAGUAACACGUGGAUAACCUACCUAUAAGACUGGGAUAACUUCGGGAAACCGGAGCUAAUACCGGAUAAUAUAUUAAACCGCAUGGUUCAAUAGUGAAAGACGGUUUUGCUGUCACUUAUAGAUGGAUCCGCGCCGCAUUAG